rnacentral:rRNA from 1 species
GUAGGUGGCAAGCGUUGUCCGGAGUUAUUGGGCGUAAAGCGCGCGCAGGCGGGUCCUUUAAGUCUGAUGUGAAAGCCCACGGGCUCAACCGUGGAGGGUCAUUGGAAACUGGGGGACUUGAGUACAGAAGAGGAAAGCGGAAUUCCAAGUGUAGCGGUGAAAUGCGUAGAGAUUUGGAGGAACACCAGUGGCGAAGGCGGCUUUCUGGUCUGUAACUGACGCUGAGGCGCGAAAGCGUGGGGAGCAAACAGGAUUAGAUACCCUGGUAGUCCACGCCGUAAACGAUGAGUGCUAAGUGUUAGGGGGUUUCCGCCCCUUAGUGCUGCAGCUAACGCAUUAAGCACUCCGCCUGGGGAGUACGGCCGCAAAGGCUG